rnacentral:rRNA from 1 species
UAAGGAUCUCGUAGGUGACCUGCGGAGGGAUCAUUACACAAAUAUGAAGGCGGGCUGGAACCUCUCGGGGUUACAGCCUUGCUGAAUUAUUCACCCUUGUCUUUUGCGUACUUCUUGUUUCCUUGGUGGGUUCGCCCACCACUAGGACAAACAUAAACCUUUUGUAAUUGCAAUCAGCGUCAGUAACAAAUUAAUAAUUACAACUUUCAACAACGGAUCUCUUGGUUCUGGCAUCGAUGAAGAACGCAGCGAAAUGCGAUAAGUAGUGUGAAUUGCAGAAUUCAGUGAAUCAUCGAAUCUUUGAACGCACAUUGCGCCCUUUGGUAUUCCAAAGGGCAUGCCUGUUCGAGCGUCAUUUGUACCCUCAAGCUUUGCUUGGUGUUGGGCGUCUUGUCUCUAGCUUUGCUGGAGACUCGCCUUAAAGUAAUUGGCAGCCGGCCUACUGGUUUCGGAGCGCAGCACAAGUCGCACUCUCUAUCAGCAAAGGUCUAGCAUCCAUUAAGCCUUUUUUUCAACUUUUGACCUCGGAUCAGGUAGGGAUACCCGCUGAACUUAA